GCCUCCCUCCGCGCCAUCAGACUCCUACGGGAGGCAGCAGUGGGGAAUUUUGGCGUCAAUGGGGGAAACCCUGGACGCAGCAACGCCGCGUGGAGGAUGGAAAUCCCUUAGGGACUGGUAAACUCCUUUACGAUUAGGGAAGAUAAUGACGGUACCUAUAGAAGAAGCCCCGGCUAACCUUCGUGCCAGCAGCCGCGGUAAUAC
rnacentral:rRNA from 1 species